rnacentral:rRNA from 1 species
CAGCAGCCGCGGUAAUACGAAGGGGGCUAGCGUUGCUCGGAAUCACUGGGCGUAAAGGGUGCGUAGGCGGGUCUUUAAGUCAGGGGUGAAAUCCUGGAGCUCAACUCCAGAACUGCCUUUGAUACUGAAGAUCUUGAGUUCGGGAGAGGUGAGUGGAACUGCGGGUGUAGAGGUGAAAUUCGUAGAUAUUCGCAAGAACACCAGUGGCGAAGGCAGCCCCCUGAGCCAAUACUGACGCUCAUGCACGAAAGCGUGGGGAGCAAACAGGAUUAGAGACCCCUGUAGUCCCUGUCUCUUAUAC